ensembl:lncRNA
UGCACAGUCGACUUUGGCUCCCAACAUACAGUAUAUAAAUAGUGCUUUGUUUUUCAACGAUUUCGCAGGUUUCUCCAGAAACCUUAAAAAUAAAAUACUUAUUUAAGUUAAAACGACAUGAAUUUUUUCUCUUUUUUCUUUCUGGGGGGGGGGGGGUAUCCAGAGUGUUUUUGUUGUUUGUUUGUUUUUUUAAAGGGUUGAGGUGACUCAGGUGAGUGGGUGGGUGUGCAAUGUUUUGUGACAGCAGUCUUCAUGUCACCUCUGAAAUACUUCAUAAUACAUCCCCAGCAAGGGGGAAGAGUUUGUUCCUUUAGGGCACAGGGUGAAUAGGAAACAUUCACAUGAGUCAGUGGAGUCCUUGGCAAAGCAGUAGGUAGAUUUAAAAAAAAUAAAUACAAAAAUCAGCUGCUCCUCAUAUGGGUGGAGGUCCGUUGGUGUAGCGCAGCAUGGGAUGGAAGGAGCGAGCAAAGUUGUUGGCGUGGUGGCAGCUGUAGUCCUCCUCCGUCAUGGGAACCAGACAGGCCAGGCCGAUGAGGAGCAGGAGGAGCAAGUGGACGGGGAGCGCUGCCCUGAGGACCCGCAGCAGGAAGGACUUAUCCUUUGAGGAGGAGGAGGAAGCUGAUGAAGUGACGUCUGAGAGGUCAGAACGGGAGGAAACGCAGCCAGCGGCGCCUGGUGAUCUGCUCCGGCUGCAGGAAGACCCAGACAAAAAUUAAACACUGCAGAGAGUGGGGCUCAGAUCACUAGUUGUUGUUUUUUUUUUUUAAAAAAAAUUUGUGCUAAAACUGCUUUAUAGUGAAAAAUGCUCCGACUUCAUGAGACUAUGAAUUAAUGAAUAAUAUUGCAGAUUCAUUUAAAAUGCCUGGAAAGGAUCUGAAUGGUAGGAAAUUGUCUCGUUAAGCUGUUCAUCUGUCAAACACUCUACUCGUGUCGAUUUUUAGCUUUUAGUUGCUAGCUGAAAGGCUUUUAGAGAAAACAAGACAUCGGGGGAACUGUGGCGGGCAUUUUUCACUGGUUUUUUACAUUUUAUAGUUUGUAAAUCUGACAUUUAGAGCAUGAAAACAAAAUGAUGUUGAACGGAAAAAUAAGAAAGGAUACAAAAAGAGUCACACUCAUGUAGAAAUUUGCAAACACACAAAACAGGCACUCACUUGC